rnacentral:rRNA from 1 species
CCGUAGCCCAAGAGAUCGGGAUAACACCUGGAAACAGAUGCUAAUACCGGAUAACAACAGAUGAUGCCUAUCAACUGUUUAAAAGAUGGUUCUGCUAUCACUCUUGGAUGGACCUGCGGUGCAUUAGCUAGUUGGUAGGGUAACGGCCCACCAAGGCGAUGAUGCAUAGCCGAGUUGAGAGACUGAUCGGCCACAUUGGGACUGAGACACGGCCCAAACUCCUACGGGAGGCAGCAGAG